AUUGAACGCUGGCGGCAUGCUUUACACAUGCAAGUCGAACGGUAACAGGUUAAGCUGACGAGUGGCGAACGGGUGAGUAAUGCAUCGGAACGUGCCCGAUCGUGGGGGAUAACGCAGCGAAAGCUGCGCUAAUACCGCAUCCGAUCUGAGGAUGAAAGCGGGGGACCGUAAGGCCUCGCGCGAUCGGAGCGGCCGAUGUCAGAUUAGGUAGUUGGUGGGGUAAAGGCUCACCAAGCCGACGAUCUGUAGCUGGUCUGAGGGGACGACCAGCCACACUGGGACUGAGACACGGCCCAGACUCCUACGGGAGGCAGCAGUGGGGAAUUUUGGACAAUGGGCGAAAGCCUGAUCCAGCAAUGCCGCGUGCAGGAAGAAGGCCUUCGGGUUGUAAACUGCUUUUGUACGGAGCGAAAAGGCUCUCUCUAAUACAGGGGGCUCAUGACGGUACCGUAAGAAUAAGCACCGGCUAACUACGUGCCAGCAGCCGCUGUAA
rnacentral:rRNA from 1 species